rnacentral:rRNA from 1 species
CGAGCGGAAACGACAACAUUGAAUCUUCGGAGGAUUUGUUGGGCGUCGAGCGGCGGACGGGUGAGUAAUGCCUAGGAAAUUGCCUUGAUGUGGGGGAUAACCAUUGGAAACGAUGGCUAAUACCGCAUAAUGCCUACGGGCCAAAGAGGGGGACCUUCGGGCCUCUCGCGUCAAGAUAUGCCUAGGUGGGAUUAGCUAGUUGGUGAGGUAAUGGCUCACCAAGGCGACGAUCCCUAGCUGGUCUGAGAGGAUGAUCAGCCACACUGGAACUGAGACACGGUCCAGACUCCUACGGGAGGCAGCAGUGGGGAAUAUUGCACAAUGGGCGAAAGCCUGAUGCAGCCAUGCCGCGUGUGUGAAGAAGGCCUUCGGGUUGUAAAGUACUUUCAGUUGUGAGGAAGGGGGUAACGUUAAUAGCGUUAUCUCUUGACGUUAGCAACAGAAGAAGCACCGGCUAACUCCGUGCCAGCAGCCGCGGUAAUACGG